rnacentral:rRNA from 1 species
GCCUAAAGCGUCCGUAGCCGGCUCUGUAAGUUUUCGGUUAAAUCUGUACGCUCAACGUACAGGCUGCUGGGAAUACUGCAGAGCUAGGGAGUGGGAGAGGUAGACGGUACUCGGGAGGAAGUGGUAAAAUGCUUUGAUCUCUCGAUGACCACCUGUGGCGAAGGCGGUCUACCAGAACACGUCCGACGGUGAGGGAUGAAAGCUGGGGGAGCAAACCGGAUUAGAUACCCGGGUAGUCCCAGCUGUAAACUAUGCAAACUCAGUGAUGCGUUGGCUUAUGGCCAGCGCAGUGUUGCAGGGAAGCCGUUAAGUUUGCCGCCUGGGAAGUACGUACGCAAGUAUGAAACUUAAAGGAAUUGGCGGGGGAGCACCACAAGGGGUGAAGCCUGCGGUUCAAUUGGAGUCAACGCCAGAAAUCUUACCCGGAGAGACAGCAGGAUGAAGGUCAAGCUGAAGACUUUACCAGACAAGCUGAGAAGUGGUGCAUGGCCGUCGCCAGCUCGUGCCGUGAGGUGUCCUGUUAAGUCAGGUAACGAGCGAGAUCCUUGCCUCUAGUUGCUACCAUUACUCUCAGGAGUAGUGGGGCGAAUUAGCGGGACUGCCGUAGUUAAUACGGAGGAAGGAGAGGGCCACGGCAGGUCAGUAUGCCCCGAA